rnacentral:lncRNA from 1 species
UGAGGCUUUAAGUUGUUGUUCUUAAGGAGCUUUUGAAUGGAUGUUGAUAUGUUAUCCUUGAUGUAGAGUAUUUAAAUAUUUAAAAAAUAAAUUUAUAAUUUUUUGAUGUUAUUUAUUAAGUGAUGGAGAGAGCUCAAAAUUAAUAAUUUUAAUGAACGAUGCGAGUCGCCUGCAAGUUUAGUGAUAUAAAAAUAUUGAAAUCAUAUAGAAUAUGGAUAGAAAUUUUUUAUAUAUUUAAAAUGAGAUCAGUCAUCAUAUUUUUAAAAUUUUUAUUUUCGGAUAAAAAAAUAAUUCUAAUUAAAUUAUAUAAAAUUUUGCACGAUCCUAAUAAUAACUAGACUUAAAUAUUUUAAUUUUGGAUUGAUAAUUUAAGCUCAAUAUUUUUUUUUUUUUGAGAGAUAGGUAGCACGCUACCCGCUUUGUUUAUUUCAUUUUACUGAAAAUAUAAAUCAACUAGAAUUCGAAUUCAGAACUUCGGAUACCAACUAUCAAAUCCACUUGCGCUAGGGACGCUCAAUAAAUUUUUUUUUUUUUUUGAAAGAGAGAUAGAUAAUACGCUACCCGUUUCGUUUAUUUCAUUUAGAAAUAAACUUAGCUGAAAAAUGUGAAUCAACUAGUAUUCGAUCUUGAGACCUUAGGUGCCAAUCAUCAAAUUCUUCGCUACUUGCGCUAAAAACAGCAUACGACGCUCAAUAAAUUAUUAUUGCUGAGGGAUUAGAUAGUUACAAAUAAU